rnacentral:rRNA from 1 species
UACGUAGGUGGCAAGCGUUGUCCGGAUUUACUGGGCGUAAAGAGCGCGCAGGCGGUCGUUCAAGUCGCGUGUGAAAGCCCCCGGCUCAACUGGGGAGGGUCACGCGAUACUGAUCGACUGGAAGGCAGGAGAGGGUAGUGGAAUUCCCGGUGUAGUGGUGAAAUGCGUAGAUAUCGGGAGGAACACCAGUGGCGAAGGCGGCUCUCUGGAACGGUACUGACGCUGAGACGCGAAGGCGUGGGGAGCGAACAGG